rnacentral:rRNA from 1 species
GAUGAACGCUGGCGGCGUGCCUAACACAUGCAAGUCGAGCGAAAAGACGAUGCGCUUGCUGAUCCCACGUUAGGGGCGGGCGGGUGAGAAACACGUGGAUAACCACCCUGUAAGAGCGGGAAAAAUUCGGGAAUCCGGCGCUAAAACCGUAUAAGAUAUUGACACGCGUGGUUCAAUAGUGAGAGACGGUUUUGCUGUCAUUUGUCGAAGGAUCUGCGCCGCAUUAUCUAGUUGGUCAGGUAACGGGUUACCAAGGCGACGAGGCGUGGGCGACCUGUGAGGGGGGUCGGCCACACUGGAACGGAGACGCGGUCCAGACUCCUACGGUAGGGAGCAGUAGGGAAUGUUCCGCAGUGGGCGGAAGCCUGACGGAGCAACGCCGCGUGAGUUAUGAAGGUCUUCGGAUCGUAAAACUCUGUUAUUAGUGAAGAACAAAUGUGUAAGGUACUAUGCACUUCUUGACGGUACCUAAUCAGAAAGCCACGGCUAACUACGUG